GCUCACUUUUUAGCUCAGUUGGUUAGAGCGUGGUGCUGAUAAUGCCAAGGUUGCAGGUUCGAUCCCCGUAUGGGACA